rnacentral:rRNA from 1 species
UGGGAACGUGCCCAAAGGUACGGAACAACUCCGGGAAACUGGAGCUAAUACCGUAUGUGCCCAAAGGGGAAAGAUUCAUCGCCUUUGGAUCGGCCCGCGUCUGAUUAGCUAGUUGGCGGGAUAAUGGCCCACCAAGGCGACGAUCAGUAGCUGGUCUGAGAGGAUGACCAGCCACACUGGGACUGGGACACGGCCCAGACUCCUACGGGAGGCAG